CUUCUCAAGUCUGAUAGAGCUUUUGAAAACUUCAUACUUACUGACUGCUUUAUUUUUACCUUGUUAUUAGAUGUGUGAAUCGGAUAAAUAUUAUUUAUAUAUUCUCGUUUGGAAUUAACGUGCAUUAUCAGCAUUUUCAAUCUGCCCAUGGAAUGUUUAUCUGCAGAUCUACUUGCACGGUAGAGACUUAAUCUCUCUGCACGCGUUCAUCAGCCCAGAAAUCCUGCCGGCAGAAUAUGGAGGCAGGAAGCCUAGUUUCGACAACAAGGGAUGGAGAUUGUCGCUUCUGGCGAACGAGGACAAGUUUGUUGAACUGGAGACUUAUGGAUAUAAAGUCGAAGAUUUAUCAGAAUAGGAAGUACAAUGACUCUUUACUGUGGAUUCUAUACCCAAGACUUGUGGAAGUCACUUCCAUUCUUUUACAGAACCAUUUGCAGUGAGACAGCGCGUUUAAGAUGUUGAAAGAGAGGGUUACUGACAUUGUUUCCUGAUCGAUUCAAUGUAUUCUUGUUCCACCUUAAACGCUUUUCAUUUUUUUACCUGGAUUUCGAAACAGACGCUUUAAAAGUCAGUAAAUUUAGCUUAAGUUUAGUUUCAUUAAGUUUCUCACUUGGCUGUGGUAAAUAUUACAAAAUAUAGAUACACAUAUUUACGUCUUUAAAAU